AGCGACCUGGAAAGGUCCGUCGUAGAGGGUAACAACCCCGUAGUCGAAACUUCGUUCUCUCUUGAAUGUAUCCUGAGUACGGCGGAACACGUGAAAUUCCGUCGGAAUCUGGGAGGACCAUCUCCCAAGGCUAAAUACUCCCUAGUGAUCGAUAGUGAACCAGUACCGUGAGGGAAAGGUGAAAAGCACCCCGGAAGGGGAGUGAAAGAGAUCCUGAAACCGUGUGCCUACAAAUAGUCAGAGCCCGUUAACGGGUGAUGGCGUGCCUUUUGUAGAAUGAACCGGCGAGUUACGAUCCCGUGCGAGGUUAAGCUGAAGAGGCGGAGCCGCAGCGAAAGCGAGUCUGAAUAGGGCGUUUAGUACGUGGUCGUAGACCCGAAACCAGGUGAUCUACCCAUGUCCAGGGUGAAGUUCAGGUAACACUGAAUGGAGGCCCGAACCCACGCACGUUGAAAAGUGCGGGGAUGAGGUGUGGGUAGCGGAGAAAUUCCAAUCGAACCUGGAGAUAGCUGGUUCUCCCCGAAAUAGCUUUAGGGCUAGCCUUAAGUGUAAGAGUCUUGGAGGUAGAGCACUGAUUGGACUAGGGGUCCUCAUCGGAUUACCGAAUUCAGUCAAACUCCGAAUGCCAAUGACUUAUCCUUAGGAGUCAGACUGCGAGUGAUAAGAUCCGUAGUCAAAAGGGAAACAGCCCAGACCGCCAGCUAAGGUCCCAAAGUGUGUAUUAAGUGGAAAAGGAUGUGGAGUUGCUUAGACAACUAGGAUGUUGGCUUAGAAGCAGCCACCAUUUAAAGAGUGCGUAAUAGCUCACUAGUCGAGUGACUCUGCGCCGAAAAUGUACCGGGGCUAAAUACACCACCGAAGCUGCGGAUUGAUACCAAUGGUAUCAGUGGUAGGGGAGCGUUCUAAGGACAGUGAAGUCAGACCGUAAGGACUGGUGGAGUGCUUAGAAGUGAGAAUGCCGGUAUGAGUAGCGAAAGACGGGUGAGAAUCCCGUCCACCGAAUGCCUAAGGUUUCCUGAGGAAGGCUCGUCCGCUCAGGGUUAGUCAGGACCUAAGCCGAGGCCGACAGGCGUAGGCGAUGGACAACAGGUUGAUAUUCCUGUACCACCUCUUUAUCGUUUGAGCAAUGGAGGGACGCAGAAGGAUAGAAGAAGCGUGCGAUUGGUUGUGCACGUCCAAGCAGUUAGGCUGAUAAGUAGGCAAAUCCGCUUAUCGUGAAGGCUGAGCUGUGAUGGGGAAGCUCCUUAUGGAGCGAAGUCUUUGAUUCCCCGCUGCCAAGAAAAGCUUCUAGCGAGAUAAAAGGUGCCUGUACCGCAAACCGACACAGGUAGGCGAGGAGAGAAUCCUAAGGUGUGCGAGAGAACUCUGGUUAAGGAACUCGGCAAAAUGACCCCGUAACUUCGGGAGAAGGGGUGCUUUCUUAACGGAAAGCCGCAGUGAAUAGGCCCAAGCGACUGUUUAGCAAAAACACAGCUCUCUGCGAAGCCGUAAGGCGAAGUAUAGGGGGUGACACCUGCCCGGUGCUGGAAGGUUAAGGAGAGGGGUUAGCGUAAGCGAAGCUCUGAACUGAAGCCCCAGUAAACGGCGGCCGUAACUAUAACGGUCCUAAGGUAGCGAAAUUCCUUGUCGGGUAAGUUCCGACCCGCACGAAAGGUGUAACGAUUUGGGCACUGUCUCAACCAGAGACUCGGUGAAAUUAUAGUACCUGUGAAGAUGCAGGUUACCCGCGACAGGACGGAAAGACCCCGUGGAGCUUUACUGUAGCCUGAUAUUGAAUUUUGGUACAGUUUGUACAGGAUAGGCGGGAGCCAUUGAAACCGGAGCGCUAGCUUCGGUGGAGGCGCUGGUGGGAUACCGCCCUGACUGUAUUGAAAUUCUAACCUACGGGUCUUAUCGACCCGGGAGACAGUGUCAGGUGGGCAGUUUGACUGGGGCGGUCGCCUCCUAAAGUGUAACGGAGGCGCCCAAAGGUUCCCUCAGAAUGGUUGGAAAUCAUUCGUAGAGUGCAAAGGCAUAAGGGAGCUUGACUGCGAGACCUACAAGUCGAGCAGGGACGAAAGUCGGGCUUAGUGAUCCGGUGGUUCCGCAUGGAAGGGCCAUCGCUCAACGGAUAAAAGCUACCCCGGGGAUAACAGGCUUAUCUCCCCCAAGAGUCCACAUCGACGGGGAGGUUUGGCACCUCGAUGUCGGCUCAUCGCAUCCUGGGGCUGUAGUCGGUCCCAAGGGUUGGGCUGUUCGCCCAUUAAAGCGGUACGCGAGCUGGGUUCAGAACGUCGUGAGACAGUUCGGUCCCUAUCCGUCGUGGGCGUAGGAAAUUUGAGAGGAGCUGUCCUUAGUACGAGAGGACCGGGAUGGACGCACCGCUGGUGUACCAGUUGUUCUGCCAAGGGCAUAGCUGGGUAGCUAUGUGCGGAAGGGAUAAGUGCUGAAAGCAUCUAAGCAUGAAGCCCCCCUCAAGAUGAGAUUUCCCAUAGCGUAAGCUAGUAAGAUCCCUGAAAGAUGAUCAGGUUGAUAGGUUCGAGGUGGAAGCAUGGUGACAUGUGGAGCUGACGAAUACUAAUAGAUCGAGGACUUAACC
rnacentral:rRNA from 1 species